GAGGGUAAAGCUCAGUGGUAGAGCACAUACUUAGCAUGUAGAAGGUCCUGGGUUCAAUCCCAAGUGCCUCCA
rnacentral:tRNA from 1 species